rnacentral:lncRNA from 1 species
AUUCAACCGUUAUAUAACCCUAAUUACAUUACAGUUUUUGAUCAUUUUCCAAACCUUAAAGAUUUGUAAUUUUCUCGUUAAUGAUGGUAUCUGAUGUGCAUUUAGCAUUGUACAGCAAAAUGUAGAAAAACAAAGAAAUCAACCAAAAGUUCUAUCAAAAUGUGACCAGGCAUACACAUUUUUAAUUCUAUUUCGUAGUCUUUGCUCA